UACGGAGGGGGCAAGCGUUAUUCGGAAUUAUUGGGCGUAAAGGGCGCGUAGGCGGCUAGAUGUGUCAAAGGUGAGAUCCCUCGGCUCAACUGAGGAACUGCCUUUGAAACUGUCUGGCUUGAGGCCGGGAGAGGGUAGCGGAAUUCCCAGUGUAGCGGUGAAAUGCGUAGAUAUUGGGAGGAACACCAGUGGCGAAGGCGGCUCACUGGUCCGGUACUGACGCUGAGGUGCGAAAGCGUGGGGAGCAAACAGG
rnacentral:rRNA from 1 species